rnacentral:rRNA from 1 species
AGUGGCGGACGGGUGAGUAACGCGUGAGAAUCUGCCUUCAGGAUGGGGACAACAGCGGGAAACUGCUGCUAAUACCCAAUGUGCCGAGAGGUGAAAGUAAUUCGCCUGAAGAGGAGCUCGCGUCUGAUUAGCUAGUUGGUAGAGUAAAAGCCUACCAAGGCGACGAUCAGUAGCUGGUCUGAGAGGAUGAGCAGCCACACUGGGACUGAGACACGGCCCAGACUCCUACGGGAGGCAGCAGUGGGGAAUUUUCCGCAAUGGGCGAAAGCCUGACGGAGCAAUACCGCGUGAGGGAGGAAGGUUCAAGUAAUUGUAAACCUCUUUUAUCAGGGAAGAAAAAAAUGACGGUACCUGAUGAAAAAGCAUCGGCUAACUCCGUGCCAGCAGCCGCGGUAAUACGGAGGAUGCAAGCGUUAUCCGGAAUUAUUGGGCGUAAAGCGUCCGCAGGUGGUAGUACAAGUCUGCUGUCAAAGACCAGAGCUUAACUCUGGGCAGGCGGUGGAAACUGUAAUACUAGAGACCGGUAGGGGUAGAGGGAAUUCCCAGUGUAGCGGUGAAAUGCGUAGAGAUUGGGAAGAACACCAGUGGCGAAGGCGCUCUACUGGGCCGGAACUGACACUAAGGGACGAAAGCUAGGGGAGCGAAAGGGAUUAGAUACCCCUGUAGUCCUAGCCGUAAACGAUGGAUACUAGG